UCUUGUUAUUCUAUUUUUGUCCCUCACCAAUUUCAUCUAAUACUCAUCGCCAUUGACGAUUUGUCUAUCAACUGUUGAUUAACGAAAAGGUCAGUUUUAAGUGUUAAACUGAUAAGUUCUAAAUUCAUUGGAAGAAUUUUUUUAUUAUAUUAUUUUGUAUAAUUUUUUGUACUUUCCAAAGAUGUUGUAUUUUUAAUAUUUUCAUUAAACCACAUAUAAGUAUUUCAUAUUAAAACAAACACAAUUUAGUUGAUCUUUAAAUAUCAAACAGAAAAUCAAUAAUCAUGCAAUUCACCUGGUUCUUUGCCGUCAUCUUUGCUUUGUUUGCUCUCGUAUCGGGCCAAAGCUGUCCUGGCAACUCCAAAUUGGAUAAGUCCAGUAACUUGUGCGUUGCCGAACGUCCCAUUCACGGUGAAUGUCCACAAAAUUUCAAAUACAACAUUAACAUUAACAAAUGUACCUAUGCUUUAAGAUAAACUUAUUGAUUGUUAAUUUUUUAAAUAAUAAAAUAUGAAAUUUAAAUAGAAAGUUAUAAA